rnacentral:piRNA from 1 species
UGAGCUUUAUCACAGAGGUCUUCCCGCU